UGCCGCGUGUGUGAAGAAGGUCUUCGGAUUGUAAAGCACUUUAAGUUGGGAGGAAGGGCAUUAACCUAAUACGUUAGUGUUUUGACGUUACCGACAGAAUAAGCACCGGCUAACUCUGUGCCAGCAGCCGCGGUAAUACAGAGGGUGCAAGCGUUAAUCGGAAUUACUGGGCGUAAAGCGCGCGUAGGUGGUUCGUUAAGUUGGAUGUGAAAGCCCCGGGCUCAACCUGGGAACUGCAUUCAAAACUGUCGAGCUAGAGUAUGGUAGAGGGUGGUGGAAUUUCCUG
rnacentral:rRNA from 1 species